UGAGGAAUAUUGGUCAAUGGGCGCGAGCCUGAACUAGCCAAGUCGCGUGAAGGAUGACUGUCUUAUGGAUUGUAAACUUCUUUUGUAGGGGAAUAAAGAGGGGCACGUGUGCCUCAGUGAAUGUACCCUACGAAUAAGCAUCGGCUAACUCCGUGCCAGCAGCCGCGGUAAUACGGAGGAUGCGAGCGUUAUCCGGAUUUAUUGGGUUUAAAGGGUGCGUAGGCGGCCUGUUAAGUCAGCGGUGAAAUCUAGGGGCUUAACUCCUAAAUUGCCAUUGAUACUGGUGGGCUUGAGUGUAGAUGAGGUAGGCGGAAUGCGUGGUGUAGCGGUGGAAUGCAUAGAUACCACGCAGAACUCCAAUUGCGAAGGCAGCUUACUAAGGUACAACUGACGCUGAAGCACGAAAGCGUGGGUAUCAAACAGGAUUAGAUACCCUGGUAGUCCACGCAGUAAACGAUGAUAACUGGGCGUAUGCGAUAUACAGUAUGCUCCUAAGCGAAAGCGUUAAGUUAUCCACCUGGGGAGUACGCCGGCAACGGUG
rnacentral:rRNA from 1 species